AUGCCUUUGCCACAAAAUUAUGUUCUUGGGGCUAAAGAUCUGCCAAGGGCCAUGCUUAGCGAUCAUAUAGAAGAACAACUCUUUAAACGGCUCAAUGAAGAGAGACACGAACGGGCUAUUCAUAAUGGGAAAAGUUUUGAUGAGGUUAGUGCUGCCUCAUCAAUUUACAGAAUCUUACGUUUAUGGAUCCUAUGUUUUCUUUUUCUUGUUUAUAUCUUGGUUUCCUUUCCUGAAUAUGAAAUAUGUGGUUUGUGUACUUCUUACAAACAGAGAUGUGUUGCUCCUUCUGCAUACUUUUAUUCCUUUUUUUAG
rnacentral:rRNA from 1 species